rnacentral:rRNA from 1 species
GGUUGCGGCCAUAUCUACCAGAAAGCACCGUUUCCCGUCCGAUCAACUGUAGUUAAGCUGGUAAGAGCCUGACCG